UACGUAGGGAGCGAGCGUUGUCCGGAAUUACUGGGUGUAAAGGGAGCGUAGGCGGGGAUGCAAGUUGGGUGUCAAAACUACCGGCUCAACUGGUAGUCGCACUCAAAACUGCAGCUCUUGAGUGAAGUAGAGGCAGGCGGAAUUCCUAGUGUAGCGGUGAAAUGCGUAGAUAUUAGGAGGAACACCAGUGGCGAAGGCGGCCUGCUGGGCUUUUACUGACGCUGAGGCGCGAAAGCGUGGGGAGCAAACAGG
rnacentral:rRNA from 1 species